rnacentral:lncRNA from 1 species
GGAAAUAAGUUUUUGAAAGAAAAGAACCAAGGGAGAAAGGCCAGGUUCGGCCGCCGAAAGUGAGUUUCGGCCGCCGAACAUGCAUGGCUUUUGGAUUCACGUUCGGCCGCCGUAGAUGGUCUGGCCAGCCACCUAUAAAAGGCCCUAGGUCGGUGAAUGGAUAAGAUUUUCUUUCCAUUUGCAUGAGCUGAGGUGAGACCAUGAUCUUCCUUGGGUGAUUUUCAUGUUUUCUCAAAUCUUUCAAAGUUUUGAUGAGUUUUUAUGUUAGUUUGAAGUUUUUGAGUAAAAGAUCUAAGUUUGGAAGCUUGGAGACUUUGAGAGAUGAUUUCUCCAUAUCUCCACGUUGGGAUCGUUUAUUCUCUUGUUUGGAAGAGGUAAGUGAAGAUCCUGAACUUCCUUUCUUGUUUUAUGAAGGUUUUAUGGAAGUUUUAUGGUAGAUAUGCAUGUUUAGGUUUAGUUGUGGUUUUUGAGGUUUUUGGGUGAUAAUAUGUAUAAGUGAUGUGUUGAUGUGGGGUUUUAGGUUAGUUUGGACCCCUUUUAUGCAUGAUAUAUGGUAUGUACUAGUUGGGAGUAGUUGGUUGCAUGUAUAGGUAAGGUUAGAAAAGUUUGCAUGAAGCAGAGCAGGGUUCUGCCCAACGGGCAAAACCAGGUUCGGCCGCCGAAGGAAGGUUCGGCCACCGAACAUGCUGAGGAGGUGGUUUCGGCUGCCUAAACUCACCCCUGAAAGAUUGGACUUUCGUCUAUGGAGGGGGGUUCCGGCCGCCUAAAGUGCCGCCGAACUUGCCGCCGAAGGUGCCCUAUCCCACCUUCUUUUGCAUGUUUUAUGUGAUUAUUUUAGGAUGUUUUAGAGGGCUUUGGGGGAGUUUUAUAGAGUUGUUCUUGAGUUAGUUUGGUCCCUCAUUUGAGUCCACCUGUGUAGGAACGGACCAGAGGAACCAGAGAGAUCAGCAGUGAGCACUGCUUCAGAGUUUGCAGAGUCAGUACAGAGUCAGCCAGAGGUGAGUGGAACUAAACUUAAUUUUUAAUAUGAGAAAUUAAAUGCUUUUAGUAUGUUUCAUGCAUCAUGAUAUGCAAUAGGAUUGAUUGCAUUAGUGUACACGAAUAUGACGCAUUGCAUUUAACCUUGUACUUGGCACUGCUCCUUGUACAUUGUAUGAUGUGCAGAUCGGACAUAGUUUUGGAAACAUUAGCCCUCACAGUAAAGUCCUGAGGAGCCCCAUCGAGGGCCGGGCACAGUAAAGUCCUGAGGACCCUCUGAGAGGGGCCGGGCACAGGGUACUUCGGUACUAUUGAUUGUAUAAUAAAGUCCUGAGGAGCUCCUUCGCGGGCCGGGCACAGAUUCGAGGGAGUUUUGUUCCGUCCGUCUGAGAUGAUGUGAUUUACUUGUGAUGUGAUGCAUUCCAUGAGAUCAUGUUUUAAUGACAUGUUUUAUCUGUUCUACUCACUGGGCUAGUAUAGCUCACCCCUCUCCCCUAACUCCAGUUUUGCAAGCUCAGAGUUCAGGGGGAAGUCCAGCAGGGUUCAAAAAGAGUAGAAGAGUGGUGUAAUAGUAUAGAGUGGACAUGUAAUUUGUAAAGAGAUAGUUUGUAUUGUAUAGUGUAUAGAAUUGUGCUUGACCCAGAUGUUGUAAUCCCUUUCUUUAUAUACAUGGUCUGUUUAUGAAAUUAUUUUACUUUAUGUGUUUGAAAAACCAGGCUUAACACAGUAUGAGUUUGACCCGCCUAGAGCAAAGAUGAGAGCUCUAGUAGGGGUUUUUAUAGUACAGAGAUAGUGCAUGCACAGGUUGAGCCUUGGUACAGAGUAAAGUAUUAAGUUUUUACAGAAAAUGUAUGAUCAUGUAUGGGAUUUCACAGGUACACAGACAGUAUAGUAGGCUUGCUACAGGUCCCGGCGACCUUAAGUCGAUCUGGAUCCUAGCGCCGGUAGCAGUUCGGUUUCCGGGCUAUUACAAGGACACUCCCGUGCCAUGUGUCCCUCCUUCCCACAUCUAAAACAGGCUGUCGUCCCAAACCGACAUACUCCUUUGUGUGGCUUACCACACCUCAUACAUACUGCAUUAUCUGCACCAAAGCUUGAGCCACUACCCAAUCCCAGACCUGACUUCAAGCGAUUUCAGAACUUGUUCUUCUUGGACUUCUUAGUGGUACUGCCCUACCUUUUACUGCCUGAAACUGCUGCACUCAAAGAUGAAGGAUCUAACCUUCCCCCACCCAGGGUCUUAGAACCAGAAGACUGUGCCACUGACUGCUUAACUGUCCCCUAAAUGAUGGCACUAGUCUCCAUUUUCCGGGCCAUAUCUACUAUGGCAUGGAAGCUCUCCCUAUCUGCUGGCUGAAACAAGGAGGAAUACCUAGAAUAGAGUUUCAUGAUAUACCUCCUUGACUUCUUCUGGUCUGUGUCAAGAUUUUGCCCUGCAAACGGCAACAGCUCCAAGAAUCUAUCUGUGUACUCAUCCACACUCAUCUCUUCUAUCUGCCUCAACUGUUCAAAUUCUAUCAUCUUCAACUCCCUUGAGCUAUCAGGGAAAGCCCAUCCUGCAAACUCAUUUGCAAACUCUUCCCAAGACAUGCUAUCCACCCUCGGGUUCACAUAAUUUUUAAACCACUCUCGGGCCUUCUUGCAUUUCAAUGUGAACCCAGCCAUCUGAAUGGCUCUACUGUCAUCAACUCCUAUCUCAUCUGUAAUCAUCUUGACCGUCCUAAGAUACUCGAACGGGUCAUCACCUGUUUCAUACUUGGGAGCAUCCAACUUCAUAUAGUCUGUCAUCUUGACCUUGCUCCCCCCAGAUGAGCUAGGUUUAGGUACUGGGGCUUCUGGGACUAUAGGUUCUGCUGGAGGUGGAGGAGGUACAGCAUUCCCUGAGGUAGGGUUUGCUGGAUUUGGAUAGUAGGUGGGGGUGGAUACAUUGGGUACUGUGUGUAUGGUGGGUAGAAAGGUGGGUAUGGCAUGUGUGAUGGGUAAGGGUUAAAGCUAGGGUAAUCCGAUGUACCUCCCAUCGAAUACCCGAGAUUUUGUGAAAAGGGUGGGUAUUGGGGUGGUUGAACAAACCCCGAGGCCUGAGUGCCUCCCUGUGACUCUCCCAUGCCCUCUUUAGACAUCUCCACACCAAGACUGCCAUCCCUCCUCUGAUCCACAUCCAUAUCAUCCCCCACAUCCUCUGACAUUCCUCCCUGAACUGUUCCCCUUACUAAUAUGCUUCUACCCAGAUCCAAAGACCUUCUAAGGUCUCUUACUACUCUUUUUUUUGCUGGACCUACUUGACAUUGCCCUAGGCAAUGCAGGAGGACGGGCAUCCGUGCCCUCGUCCUUGGGUGGUACUCCAGUCAAUCGUGCAGAUCGACGAGUUCCUCUCAUCCUGUUUUCUGAAAAACAGCACAUACCACACAAAUAUUAGCAUCAUAUGGUUCAUGUGAAAACACAUGAACCUACAUCACAUAUAUCACAUACAAAGCAUAUCAUUAAUACACAUGCCUAUCAUCAUGGCAUUUCACAUCAUCAUACAAGACAGGACUCUACAUCCUAUCCUAGUGGACAUGAUCUUUCCUAUUGUGCUUGACCUUCUAUAACCUCUAUGAGCCCGACACACUAUAGGUCCGACCAUAUGAACCUAGGGCUCUGAUACCACUCUGUAACGACCCGAAAAUCCGGACCGCUACUGCGCUAGGAUCCAGAUCGACAUAAGGUCGUCGGGACCCGUAACAAGCCUAACAUACAUCCUGUAUACCUGUUUAAUCCCAUACAUGAUCAUACAUAUACAUAAAACUGUAAACUUUUUCUUUCCUUCACCAAGCUUAACCUGUGCAUGCACAUAACCAUAAACAUAAAAUCCGACAUUGGAGCCCUCAUCAAAUGCUCCAAUGGGGUAACAUACCAUACAUUAAGCUUGGUUUACAUAAGACAUCGUAAAACAUUUUAUAGAUCAUGUACCAAGGGGAUCAACUAUACAUACUAGGGUCAAGCACAAUUCUACUCCUCAAUAACAUCAUUACAUUACAUGACUGUUCAAAACUUUACAUUACAACAUUUUACAAUUUAUCAUGUCCACUCUAACUAUUACAUAAACAUGACUUUACUCUUCCUGGCCUCCUGGCCUAUCCUGUACCUACAAACCUGGGGGAUUUGGGAAAUGGGGUGAGCUACUAGAGCCCAGUGAGCAGAAUAGUAAAAACAUUUAAAACAUAUGAUAACAUGGAAUGCAUCACAUCACAGACAAAUCACAUCAAGGAUGGAAUUGUCACCAAUAGCCCUCUACAUACUCUAAUUGUGCCAGGGGCAUAGAAUGGGCCUCACUGGUCUUUCUCUUACAUAGCAUAACAUAACAUAACAGUUCAACUGUGCCAGGGGCGUAGAAUGGGCCUCACUGGUCUUUCUCUUACAUAGUGCCAGGGGCGUAGAAUGGGCCUCACUGGUCUUCCAUACCGUAUCAUCGUCAUAUCAUAUCAUACGAGGACUAAAGGAUCAUCCAACAUCCAUCCACAUCAACAUCAAAUAAUGCAAUGCAACAUAUUCGUGAAUUCUAAUGCAAACAAUCUAGUAUAUCACAUGGCAUUCGUGAUGCAUGAAUCAUACUAAAACUUUCAUUAAUUUAAAACAUAAAGGUUUAUUCUACUCACCUCGGGCUAACUCUGAACAGACUAUCUCACUGCUGGGGUCCUUGGUUCCUCGGGUCUAAACCUACACAGAUGGACUCAAAUGAGGGACCAAACAUAGACUAACAUGACACUAAACAACCCCCCAAAAACCCCCUAAAACACCUCAAAACAAUCAUAGAAAUCAUGCAAAGGAAGGCUGAACAGGGCACUUUCAGGCGGCAGGUUCGGCGGCCAAAAGUCCCUCCAGAGCCGAAACUCAUGCAUGUUCGGCGGCACCUUCGGCGGCCGAAACUCCCUUCCAAAGCCGAAAGUCCAACUUUCGGGGGCAGGGUUCGGCAGCCAAAAGCUUGCCUCCACAAGCAGGUUCAGCGGCCGAAAGUCCCUUCGGCUGCCGAACCUGAGUUCUUCCAGAAGUGGCAGAACUCGGCUCCAACAUGCACAAUGCCUCCCCAAAUUUCUCAACUCAACCAGACAUGCAUACACACUUCCAUAAGCAUAUAGGGGUCUCAAACUAACCUAAACCCCAACACAAACACUAAGCAUGAACACAUACAACUCACAUUGUCCAUAGACUCACAUAAACCCUAUCAACAUGCAUAAACUCUAACACAUGCAUUUCUACCCCAUGGAUCAACUUAAAACUUGCUUAAAACAUACAAGAAGGGUAGGAUCUAAGCUUACCUCUUAAAAAUUGAGAGGAGAGACGAUCCUAGCUCAGAGAUGGAGAGAAAUCCACUCCUUGGUCUCCAAGUUCCAAAACUUGAUCUUGAGCUCAAAAAUCUUCAAAACCAAGUUAAAAACUAUUUAAAACUUGAAAGAUUUGAGGAAAAUCAUCAAAACCAACCAUGAGAGGGCAUGGACUCACCUCUGGCCGGAAAUGGGGAAGAAAACUCGCCCAUUUUCGGUCACGAGGCCUUUUAUAGGUGGCUGGCCAGACCACCUUCGGAAGCCGAAGGUGACACCAAAACUCAUGCAAGUUUGGCGGCCGAACCUGGGUUUUCCCUCUAUGAUCUUUUUCAUUCAAAACUCAAUUUUCUUCUUGCUUAAAAUCAUAAAAUACAUUAAAACAUUUUAUGAAAACAUGGAUUUACCCUUCUAGAGGUUUCCGACAUCCGAGAUUCCACCGGACGGUAGGAAUUCUGAUACCGGAGUCUAGCCGGGUAAUACAGUAUCGACUAUGAAGAAACAUUCUCACCAGUCGCUCGCCUUGAAACUGUAAGAUUAUUGCUUGCUUUAGCUGCUCAAUUAUCCCUUCCUGUCUUUCAAUUUGAUGUGAAGUCUGCCUUCUUGAACGGAGAUUUAGAGGAAGAAGUUUAUGUUUCUCAACCUGAGGGCCUUGUUGAAAAAGAUCAUAAGGAUAGUGUUUUCAGAUUGAGAAAAGCUCUCUACGGGCUUAAGCAAGCACCGUGAGCCUGCUAUAGUAAAAUUGAUAGCUAUUUUGGUGAAAAUGAUUUUGUUAAAAGUGAAAAUAAGCCCACUUUAUACUUGAAAAGAGAAGGCAAAGCUGGAUUUCUGGUUGUGUGUGUUUACAUUGAUGACAUGAUUUAUUUUGGAUCCAAUAAUUGUCUUGUUGCUGAUUUUAAGUUUUCUAUGAUGAGAAAUUUUGAGAUGACAGAUUUGGGAUUAUUGCAAUAUUUUCUUGGGCUUGAGGUGAAACAAUAUGCAGAUGGGAUAUUUGUUGGACAACAAAAAUAUACAAAUGAUUUGCUUAAGAAAUUUAGCAUGGCAAAAUGCAAUGUGGCUGUUAUAACAGCCCGGAUACCGGACCGCUACCGGCGCUAGGAUCCAGAUCGGUUUAAGGCUGCCGGGACCCGUAGCAAGCCUGCUAUACUGUCUGUGUACCUGUGAAAUCCCAUACAUGAUCAUACAUUUUCUGUAAAAAUAUAAAAACUUGGUUCUGUACCGAGGCUCAACCUGUGCAUGCACUAUCUCUGUACUAUAAAACCCCUCACUAGAGCUCUCACUGUUGCUCUAGAUGGGUUAAACUCAUACUAUGUCAAGCCUGGUUUUCAUACACAUCAAAUAAAAACAUUUACAUAAACAGACCAUGUAUAUAAAAAGGGAUUACAAACGUAUGGGUCAAGCACAAAACUAUACAUCUCAUUACAAAACUAACUAUCUCUUUACAAUAUUACAUGUCCACUCUAUGCUAUUACAAAACCCUUUACUCUUUUUGUACUCUGCUGACUUCCCCCUGAACUCUGAACCUGCAAGACUGGGGUUAGGGGAGAGGGGUGAGCUAUACUAGCCCAGUGAGUAGAACAAAUAAAACAUGUUAUUAAAACAUAAUCUCAUGGAAUGCAUCACCGACAAGUAAAUCACAUCAUCUUAGACGAACUAAUUCAAAAAUCCCUCAGUUGUGCCCGGCCCGCGAAGGAGCUCCUCAGGUCUUUACUCAGCACCCUAUGGUACCGUAUAUGCCCGGCCCUCUCAGGGCUCCUUAGGUCUUUACUCAGAGGGCUAAUGAAUCCAAACUAUGUCUGAUCCGUACAAGCACUGAAUAAUGCAAUGCAUCACAUUCGUGUAUUCUAAUGCACUCAUCCUACUAUAUAUCAUGAUGCAUGGUACAUGCUAAAAGCAUUUGAUUUCUCAUAUUAAAAGUUAAGUUCAGUUCCACUCACCUCUGGCUGACUCUGUACUGACUCUGCAGGCUCUGAAGCAGUGCUCACUGCUGAUCUCUCUAGUUCCUCUGGUCCGUUCCUACACAGGUGGACUCAAAUGAGGGACCAAACUAGCUCAAGAACAACUCUAUAAAACUCCCCAAAAGCCCUCUAAAACAUCCUAAAACAAUCACAUAAAACAUGCAAAAGAAGGCUGGACAGGGCACUUUCGGCGGCUGGUUCGGCGGUCGAAACCCCCCUCCAGAGACGAAACUCGGGUUCUUUCGGCGGCACCUUCGGCUGCCGAAAGUCCCCUCCAGAGACGAAAGUCUCAACCUUCGGCGACACUUUCGGCUGCCGAAACUCCCCUCCAGAGACGAAAGUCCAAUCUUUCGGGGGCGAGUUUAGGCAGCCGAAACCACCUCCUCAGCAUGUUCGGCGGCCGAACCUUCCUUCAGCGGCCGAACCUGAUUUUGCCCGUAGGGCAGAACCCUGCUCUGUUUCAUGCACAACUCCUCCCAACUUCACUCAAACAUGCAAACAACUACUCCCAACUAGCACAUACCAUAAAACAUGCAUAAAGGGGUCUAAAACUAACUUAAACCCCAUCAAUCAUCACAACUCAACUCAUAAACAUACUAACACCAAAGAUCAUAAAAAACAACCACUAAACCUAAACAUGCAUAUCUACCAUAAAACUCCCAUAAAACCUUCAUAAAACAAGAAAGGAAGUUCAAGAUCUUCACUUACCUCUUCCAAAUGAGAGAAUAAACGAUCCCAACGUGGAGAUAUGGAGAAACCCUCUCUCAAAGUCUCCAAGCUUCCAAACUUAGAUCUUUUGCUCAAAAACUUCAAAACAACAUAAAAACUCAUCAAAACUUUGAAAGAUUUGAGAAAACAUGAAAAUCACCCAAGGAAGAUCAUGGUCUCACCUCUGCUCGUGCAAAUGGAAAGAAAAUCUUAUCCAUUCACCAACUUAGGGCCUUUUAUGGGUGGCUGGCCAGACCACCUUCGGCGGCCAAACGUGAAACCGAAUGCCAUGCAUGUUCGGCGGCCGAAACUCACUUUCGGCGGCCGAACCUGGCUUUUCUUCCUUGGUACUUUUCUUUCAAAAACUCAUUUCCUCAAUGCUUAAAACAUUAAAAACUUACAUAAAACACUUAGAAAACAUCACUCUUACCCUUCUAGAGGGUUCCGUCACUCGAAAUUUCACUGGACGAUAGGAAUUCCGAUGCCGGACUCUAGCCGGGUAUUACAGAUGCAACUCUAAUGAAUUUGAAUGAAAAAUUACAAGCUGAAGAUGGGACAGAGAAGGCUGAUGUAACUUAUUUUCAAAGGAUGGUUGGUGGACUGAACUAUUUGUCUCAUACACGACCUGAUAUCGCCUUCUCUGUUAGUGUCUUAUCCAGGUUCAUGCACAGUCCAACAAAGCAUCAUCUUGGAGCAGCAAAAAGGGUAUUGCGAUAUGUUGCUGGAACUGUUAAUUUUGGAAUUUGGUAUACCACCGUAUCAAAUUUCAAAUUAUUUGGCUACACUGAUAGUGAUUGGGCAUGUUCUUUAGAUGAUAGAAAGAGUACAUCAGGUUACACUUUCAGUCUUGGUUCAGGUGCCAUCUCAUGGAGCUCAAAGAAGCAUGAUACUAUUGCUUUGUCAUCUUCAGAAACGGAAUAUAUUGCUGCAACUUCUGCAGCAUGUCAAGCUGUGUGGCUUAGGCGAGUUCUGGUUGACUUGGGUUAAGAGCAAGUGGCAACAACUAAAAUUGAUUAUGAUAACAAAGGUACAAUAGCAAUGACAAAAAACCCAGCUUUCCACAGCAGAGCAAAGCACAUUGAGAUUCGGCACCAUUUUAUUCGAAGGUUGGUUGCAAAUGGAGAAAUAGAGCUGAAAUUUUGUGGUACUAAUGAUCAAGUUGCAGACUUAUUCACUAAGUCGUUGUCUCAGCCAAAACAUACUUAUUUUGGUCAACAAUUGGGUAUCAAUGAUUUUGAAUCAAGAGGGCAUGUUAAGAUUUGAUUACAAAAUCAUAAGUGUUUAGUUUCUGAUUUAAUUCCUGAUAUUAUGUUAUUGUUAGCAAUGGCAAAUAAAAUCAUAUCUGCUGUAGAUUAAUUGCAGAUUUUUAGGCCAUUUAGUUAUAUUUAGUUUACUUUGUAAUGCCUAUAAAAGGCUUUGUUUUCUUUUCUUUGAUACAGCAACAGAGAUCCACUUUCUCUCUUUUGUUUUUGUUUCCGUAUUAUUUUUAUCAGCACCAACAAUAGAACCUAAAAACACGAGUUACAAUGAAAAGAGAUAAAGAAAAUCAACAGUUCCAAUCAGAAAUGCACAUGAGAGUUUAAAGGUGAACAUAAUGGUUGUUGGAGGAACUAGAGGAGAAUCAUGUAAUUUUAGUGCCGCCAAUCCAUUCUCGCCAUGACAAUCCUUUACAAUGCAUUAUUCUCAAGUAAAUGCUAUUCAUGUGGAAUUGUCCUUGGAUCCAAACAAACAUUCGGCGGUACACAUUGGCACAAUCAUUCAGACUGAGGUGACAAAAUCUUCACACCAUUUGGCACACUACAGCAAAGGGAUACAUAAUUCAAACCUUAUGAUCUACGAACAGGGUCAUCCUCUUAACUUUAAAAUCACUACUGCCUUAAAUCCUCCUUUAUUAAUUAAGGCUAACAGGAGUAUUGACCUGGUCUAUAACACCUCUUCGUCGGCCCAACCAUUUACGGAUGGGGAUAUGAUUGAAGGACAUAAGGAGGAAGAUGAUGGUGCUUGGACCGACAGUGAUAGUGGCUUCGAGGAGGAACCAUUCUCGGACCUGUAUCUUCGCGAUUAAGAAACAUUAGCUAAGUUAUUUUUCUUUUCACCUUUCCCUUUAUUAUUAUGUCUAUUCUUAUUUGAAACAACCAAGGGACAGGUAACCCUUCUUUUUUGAAUGCUUUUAGGUUGCUGAUUAAUAAAUAUAAAUCUAAGCUUAUUGCUUUAUAGAGCCGCACAUUAAUGGUAAGAAAGCUGACUCUUUUACUCUCAAGAUGAGCUUUCAACAUUCCCACAUAAUAGAGGCUACAUGCUUUUUGAGUGGUAAUUGGUUGUGUUGGCAUGAGGAUUAGGAUAUUCAGAUCCUUAUCAAUCAUAGGCAAUUUGUGCAUAUAUGCAUAUAUGAGAAUGGUAUGCCCCUUUCUCUCUUCACUGCUGUCUACAGAAGUCCGAUUGCUCACUGGAGGAAAUUUUUACGGAGAGAUUUGGACUCUUUAAACAUCAAUUCUAGGGAUUAUUGGUUGAUAGCAGGUGAUUUCAAUGCUUUGCUUUCAAUCGAGGAACAUCGAGGUGGUUCCACUCAAUAUUGAAUUUCACAAGAUUUCUUAAAUUGGUUUUCUUUAGCCCAUCUUAUUGAUCUUGUUUUCUUGGGACCCAAAUUUACCUGGUAAAGAGGGAAGCCUUUUAAAAAACUUGACCAAGCUUUGUGCACUUAUACAUGGAGAGCCUGUUUUUAGGAGGCUAGUGUCUUCCAUUUACCCAUGAUUCAGUUGGAUCACCGUUCAUUUUUUAUUAAAUUCUAGAGUUUUCAACCUAUUAUUGUGGAUUGACCUUUUAAAUUUUAAGCAUCCUAGCUUCUCAUUUUGACUUUGAGCAUUUCUUGCACGCUGCUUGAAGCCCUAAAGGAUGCCUUAUGGAUACUUUAAUUUUUCAUUUUGAUAGAUUGAAAGAUUAGAACAGAAAUAUUUUCAGUAAUGUCUUUUAUUAGAAAAGAAGACUUCUAGCUCGUAUUGAAAAGAUGCGGAAAGCUUUUGACAACCAUUUCUUUAGAUUUUUAUAUAAUCUAGAUUUGGAGUUAAGGGAGGAACUGGAUGUGGUUCUGCAAAGAGAAGAGCUCAUUUUGUACCAAAAAAAACUAGAACAUAUUGGAUUCAAUAAGGUGAUCAGAACACAACUUACUUCUAUGCUAAGAUGGUAUCUAGAAGGAAAUGGAAUAGGAUAGAACUGAUACAGGAUGAUGAUAAUAAUUGGAUAUAUAAUCAGAAGGACCUUAAAUCCUUUCUGCUUUGUGUGUUGUUUGUAAUACUAAACUAGAAUCUGCCUUGCAUGUCAUUAGAGAUUGCUACCAAACGACAUAUGCAUGGAGAGGUUUUGUGCCAAGAUACAGAUGGAAUAACUUCUUCCAACUGAUAUGUCACUACAAGACUGGAUCAAGGGGAACCUGCAAGUCAAUAUGUAAGACAAGUUAGAGGUACCUUGGCCACUGUUAUUUGGUAUUGUCCAUUGGCAAUUAUAGAAAAAGUGAAACAAUUUUCUUUUUAACUAGGUAGUCCCAGGUCUACACUCUUUUACAUGUCUAGCCCACAAUAAAGCAAUAGAGAUUAACCAAUUUUUAAGUAAGAUACCUCAGCAGAUGUAGUACCGCAAAAGGAUCUAAUUUCUGCCAUAUGAAAAAAACCAGCUGAAAAUUUCAUUAAACUUAAUACUGAUGCAAUUGUCUCUCUGAAGGACACUUUUGCGUUAGGGGAUGUAAUACCCGGCUAGACUCCGGUGUCGGAAUUCCAACCUUCCUACGAAAUCUCCAUUGGAAUCCAGAAUCUCGGAUCCCAGAAUCUCGGAUCCCAAAACCUCAAGGGUAAAAUAUGUUUUACAAAAUGUUUUUCAUGGUUUUAUUGUUUGGUUUUUAGUUAAAGUUUUAAAAAAUGAAAGAAAAACGUUUUUGAGGGACAAGUCAAGGUUCGGCCGCCGAACCUUAUGUUCGACCGCCGAACAUGGUGCUGCCGCAGGAGCUCUCCUUUCGGCCCUCGAAGGUGGUCUGGCCAGCCACCUAUAAAGGGCCUUCAGCCCGAAAAUGUGAGGGUUUUCCUCUCCAUUUUCGUGCAAGGGUGAGUUCACGCCCUCCCUUUGUGUUCAUGUUAGUUUUCCUCCAAAUCUUUUACAUAUUCAUGAGUUUUUCUCCUAUUUUGAAGUUUUAAAGCUUAAAUCCAAGAUUUUAAAGUUUGGAGACAGUUUCUCCUCAACACCAUGUUUGGGGUCACAUCUACCUUCGAUCUUCAAGAGGUAAGUGUAGAUCCUUGCUCUUUAUUAUGUUUUAAGUAAGUUUUAGAAAGGGUUAAGGGUAAAAAAAAAUGUAUGAAAUGGCUAGAUCUAAGGUUAUAGGCUUUGAGUUGGGUUUUUAUUGAAUGUAUGCUUAUGUGAUGUUUUUGUUGUUAUUGUUGGGGCUUAAGUUAGUUUUUAUGCCCCUUAUGCAUGUUGGAGUGAGUAUGCAUGUUGUGGGAAGUUGGGUGUGAAGAUUUGAGAGUUUUAGGGUUGAAAUGCAUAAGGCAGAAUCGGGUUUUGCCAUUCUGGAGAACCUAGGUUUGGCCGCCGAUGCAGGGUUCGGCCGCCAAACCUGCAUGGGAGGCAGCUUUUUGGCCGCCUAACAUGCCCCCGAAUGCAUGCACUUUCGGAUCUAGAAGGGAGUUUCGGCCGCCAAACCCACCCCCGAAAGUCCCUGACUUUCGGAUCUGUGGAGGACUGUAACGACCCGAAAAUCGAACCGCUACCGGCGCUAGAAUCCAGAUCGACUUAAGGUCGCCGGGACCCGUAGCAAGCCUGUUAUACUCUCUGUGUACCUGUAGAAUCCCAUAUAUGAUCAUACAUUUUCUGUAAAAAAUUAAAACUUUGCUCUGUACCAAGGCUCAACCUGUGCAUGCACUAUCUCUGUACUACAAAACCCCUACUAGAGCUCUCAUCAUUGCUCUAGAUGGGUUAAACUCAUAAAAUGUUAAGUCUGGUUUUCAUACACAUCAAUAAAACAUUUACAUAAACAGACCAUGUAUACAAAAAGGGAUCUAUAAAACAUAUGGGUCAAGCAUAAGACUAAAACAUCUCUUUACAAUAUUACAUGUCCACACUAUGCUAUUACAUAACUCUUUACUCUUUCUGUGCUCUGCUAAAACUCCCACUGUACUCUGAACCUACAAAACUAGGGUUAGGGGAGAGGAGUGAGCUACUAUAGCCCAGUGAGUAGAACAAAUAAAACAUGUUAAUAAAACAUGCCCACAUGGAAUGCAUCACAUCACAAGUAAAUCACCCAUCUCAGAUGGACAGAUUCAAAAAUCCCUCAACUGUGCCCGGCCCGCGAAGGAGCUCCUCAGGACUUUACUAUGCACCCUAUAGUGCACUGUGCCUGGCCCUCUCAGGGCUCCUCAGGACUUUACUACGAGGGCUAAUGAAUCCAAACUAUGUUCGAUCCGUACAAGCACUGAAUAAUGCAAUGGGUCACAUUCAUGUAAUCUAGUGCACUCAACCUAUUAUAUAUCAUGAUGCAUGGAACAUGCUAAAAGCAUUUGAUUUCUCAUAUUAAAAGAUUAAGUUUAGUUCCACUCACCUCUGGCUGACUCUGUACUGACUCUGAAGCAGUGCUCACUGCUGAUCUCUUCGGUUCCUCUGGUCCGUUCCUACACAGGUGGACUCAAAUGAGGGACCAAACUAGAUCAAGAACAUCUCUAUAAAACUCCCAAAAACCCCUCUAAAACAUCCUAAAACAAUCAUACAAAACAUGUAAAAGAAGGUGGGACAGGGCACUUUUGGCGGCUAGUUUGGCAGCCGAAAGUCCCUUCUAGAGACGAAACUCAGACACUUUCGGCGGCACCUUCGGCAGCCGAAAGUCCCCUCCAGAGACGAAAGUCCUAACCUUCGGCGGCACAUUCGCGGCCGAAACUCCCCUCCAGAGACGAAAGUCCAAACUUUCGGGGGCGAGCUUAGGCAGCCGAAACCACCUCCUUAGCAUGUUCGGCGGCCGAACCUGGGUUCUCCAGUAAGGCAGAACCCUGCUCUGCUUCAUGCAAAACUUUUCCAAACUCUACUCAAACAUGCAAACAACCCUCAACAACUUGCAUAUACCAAAAAAACAUGCAUAUAGGGGUCCAAAGCUAACCUAAACCCCAACCAACAUCAACAACACAUCACUCAAACAUGUUAUCACCAACAAUCAUCCAAAAACCCUACUUAACCUAAUCAUGCAUCUCUACCCAUAAAACUCCACAAAACCUUCAUAAAACAUAAAAGAAGUUAGGGAUCUACACUUACCUCUUGAAGAUCUAGAGGAUAGGUGAUCAUAACGUGGAGAUAUGGAGAAAAUCACUCUCAAAGUCUCCAAGCUUCAAAACUUUGGUCUUUAGCUCAAAAACUUCAAAACAACAUGAAAACUUGUCAAAACUUUGAAAGAUUUGAGAAAACACGAAGAUCUCCCAAGGAAGAUCAUGGUCUCACCUCUGUCCGUGAAAAUGGAAAGAAAAUCAUAUCCAUUUGACCGAGAUGUGGCCUUUUAUAGGUGGCUGGCCAGACCACCUUCGGCGGCCAAACGUGAUUCCUAAAGCCAUGCAUGUUCGGUGGCCGAACAUCACUUUCGGUGGCCGAACCUGGCUUUUCUUCCUUGGUGCUUUUCUUUCAAAAACUCAUUUCCUUUACACUUAAAACAUUAAAACUUAUGAAAAACAUUUAGAAAAACACAACUCUUACCCUUCUAGAGAAUUCUGACAUCCUAAAUUCCACCAAACGGUAGGAAUUCCGAUGCCAGACUCUAGUCGGGUAUUACAUUCUCCCCCCCUUAAGAACAUUCGUCCCCGAAUGUUCCUCAAACAACUAAACACAUAAAAAGAGGAAAAGCUAACCUCAAAACAGAUACGGAUAUUGCUGGAGCAUAGACUCCCGUGUCUCCCAGGUGCACUCUUCUAGGUUGUGGUGGUUCCAGAGGACUUUCACCAACGGGAUCUCCUUGUUUCUCAACUUUCUGAUCUGGGUGUCAAUGAUCCACACUGGCUGCUCUACAUAGGUGAUAUCCUUUAGGAUCUCCACAUAUGGCUCAUUGAGAACCUUACCCGGAUCUGACACAAACUUCCGUAGCAUAGAAACAUGGAAGACCGGAUGGAUUCUUUCCAUAGAAGCGGGUAAAUCUAGCUUGUACGACACAUUCCCGACCCUCUGCAAAAUCUCAAAAGGUCCGAUGUACCGUGGAGCUAGCUUACCUUUCCUCCCAAAACGAACCACUCCUUUUAUAGGAGACACCUUCAGCAAUACCAGAUCUCCCUCCCAGAACUCUAUGUGCUUCCUGUGAACGUCUGCAUAGCUCUUCUGCCGACUAACAGCAGUCUUGAGUCUCUCUCUGAUGAUGGGCACUACUCUGUUGGUAAUCUCUACCAACUCAAGUCCUGCCAAGGACCUCUCUCCAACUUCCUCCCAGCAAAUAGGUGACCUGCACUUCCUUCCAUAAAGAGCUUCAUAUGGAGCCAUCCCUAUGCUAGCAUGAUAGCUGUUAUUGUAGGCAAACUCCACCAAGGGUAGAUGCUGCCUCCAAGAACCGCCAAAAUCUAGCACGCACAUUCUGAGCAUAUCCUCUAUGGUCUGGAUGGUCCUCUCUGACUGUCUGUCAGUCUGUGGAUGGAAAGCAGUGGUAAAGUCCAACCUUGUGCCCAUAGGGUCUUGCAGACUCCGCCAAAACCUGGAGGUGAACUGGGGUCCUCUAUCAGACACUAUAGACACAGGAGCCCCAUGCAGUCUAACCACUUCCUCAACAUACACCUGCGCCAACUUGUCCACAGAAUAGUUACUCCUGACCGGGAUGAAAUGAGCGGAUUUGGUUAGUCUGUCCACUAUCACCCAUAUGGAGUCUAGCCUGUUGGACGUCGCCGGUAACCCCACUACAAAAUCCAUAGCUAUGUUCUCCCAUUUUCACUCUGGAAUCGGCAGUGGGUUAAGCAUUCCAGCCGGCUUCUGAUGUUCUAGCUUCACCCUUUGACAUAUCUCGCAGGCUGACACAAACUGUGCCACUUCUCUCUUCAUAGCUGACAACCAAUACACCCUUUUCAGAUCUUGAUACAUCUUGGUGGCUCCAGGGUGAACGCUAUAUCUAGCAUUAUGAGCUUCCCUCAUAAUGUCUCCUUUCAAACUAAUGUCAUCUGGUACACAUAGUCUAUUCCCGUAGCGGAGAAUCUCUUUGUCAUCGAAUCUAAACUCUUCGCUCUUACCUGACUGAACCGUCCUGGCAAUCUUGACUAACUCUAGGUCCUCAUGCUGUUUAUGAGCUACCUGCUUCAGAAACACGGGUGUAACUCUCAUCCGUGCGAUCAAAGCACCUGUACUAGAUAACUCCAACUGUAGCCCUUCAUUCAUGAGCCUGUAGAAGUCCUUCACCAUCGGCCUCCUCUCUGCUGUGAUGUGGGACAAACUGCCAAGUGAUUUCCGGCUUAAGGCAUCAGCUACAACAUUAGCCUUACCCGGAUGAUACUGGAUCUUGCAAUCAUAAUCACUGAGCAAUUCUAUCCAUCGUCUCUGCCUUAAAUUUAGCUCUCUCUGGCUCAAGAUGUGCUGCAGGCUCUUAUGAUCAGUGAAGAUCUCACAUUUAACCCCAUAGAGGUAAUGCCUCCACAUCUUGAGUGCAAAGAUAACAGCUGCCAUCUCAAGGUCAUGUGUAGGAUAGUUCAGCUCGUGCUUCUUCAGCUGUCUAGAAGCAUAAGCUAUCACUCUAUCAUUCUGCAUCAACACAACCUAAUCCCACUCGGGAUGCAUCACAGAACACUGUGAAGUCCUCCUCACUAGUAGGCAGAGCUAAAACCGGUGCUGAAGUCAACCUUUUCUUUAGCUCUUCAAAGCUCUCCUCGCAUUGGUCAGACCAUAUGAAUCUCUGGUUCUUCCUGGUUAGUCUGGUCAUGGGAGCAGCUAUCUUGGAGAAGUCCUGAACGAACCUCCUAUAGUAGCUUGCCAAACCCAGAAAACUCUUGAUCUCUAUCACUGUGGUGGGUCUAGGCCAGUUGGCUACAGCCUCUAUCUUCUUGGGGUCCACUGAUAUUCCUUGGUCUAACACCACAUGCCCCAAGAAAGAAAUGCUCCUCAGCCAGAACUCACACUUGGAGAACUUGGCAUACAAGCCAUGCUCUUUCAAGGUCUGCAGGACUAUCCUCAGAUGCUGGGCAUGCUCCUCUGCAUUCCUGGAAUACACUAAGAUGUCAUCUAUAAAGACAAUAACAAAGUGGUCCAGGUACUCUCUGAAAACUCUGUUCAUGAGAUCCAUGAAUGCUGCAGGGGCAUUAGUUAACCCGAACGGCAUUACUAGGAACUCAUAAUGCCCAUAUCUGGUCCUGAAAGCUGUCUUUGGCACAUCCUCUUCCCUCAUUCUCAACUGGUGGUAUCCCGAUCUCAGAUCUAUCUUGGAAAAUCAACCUGCUCCUGCUAGCUGGUCGAAUAGAUCGUCGAUCCUGGGUAGAGGAUACUUAUUCUUGGUAGUGACUUUGUUCAACUGCCUGUAGUCGAUACAAAGUCUAAGGGAUCCAUCUUUCUUUCUGACAAACAGCACUGGAGCACCUCAAGGUGAGGUACUCGGUCAUAUGAAACCCUUAUCUACCAACUCCUGCAACUGCUCUUUCAACUCUUUCAGCUCUGCUGGUGCCAUCCUGUAGGGAGGGAUAGAGAUCGGUCUGGUACCAGGCAUCAACUCUAUCUCGAACUCUAUCUCCCUAUCAGGUGGUAGUCCUAGAAGCUCAUAUGGGAAGACAUCUGGAAAUUCUCUGACUACUGGUACUGAGGAUGGUUCCCUAACCUGACUAUCUAGCUCUCUCACAUGAGCUAGAAACCCCUGACAACCCCUCCUGAGCAAUCUACGAGCCUGAAGGGCUGAUAUCAAACCGCUAGGUGUUCCCCUCCUGUCUCCUCUGAAGAAACACUCUGACCCAUCCUGGUCUCUAAGACUGACUACCUUGUCUCUGCAGUUCAAGGUAGCACCAUGUGUAGAUAGCCAAUUCAUCCCUAAAAUGACAUCAAAAUCCGUCAAUUCUAGAACCACAAGGUCAGCUGGAAGGCAUCUACCCUCUAUGAACACUGGACUGAAACGACAGACUGACUCUGCCAAUGAUGGGUCACAUUUGGGUCCACUGACCCAGAGAGGACACUCUAACCCAGAGACUAUCAGACCCAGUCUCUCCACGGCUCUCGAAGCAAUAAAAGAGUGAGAAGCACUGGGGUCCAUCAAAGCAUACACCUCGGAACACCCAAUGAUGAGGUUACCUGACACCACUGUGUUCGACGUGUCUGCCUCCUGCUGUGUCAUUGUGAAGAUCCGUGCUGGGGCUGACAGACCUUCACCUCGGGAACCCAUCCCUGAAGAAGAGGCUGACCCUCUCCCUCUACCUCUGCCACUGCUCUGAGGCAUAGCUGAAGCUGCUGGCCGAGCCACACUGCUAGAAGUCAUCUGCUGGGAUGGUGCCAUUAAGGUCACUUGAGGACACUCCCAUGCAAAAUGUCCCUCCUGCCCACACUUAAAGCAGGCUGUAGAUCCCAACCGACAAACUCCCUUGUACGGUCUCCCACAUCUCAUACACACUAAACUGCCUGUGCCAGAGCUUGAGCCACUACCCAUUCCUAGACCAGACUUGAUCUUGUUCCAGAACUUGCCCUUCUUGGACUUAAACUUUUCUCCCUUUUUGCUGCCAGAAACUACUGCACUGGGGGUCUUAGAACCUGAAGACUGUGCCACCUGCUGCUUUACUAUUCCCUAAAUGAUGGCACUUGCCUUCAUCUUUCUGGCCGUAUCCACUAUAGAGUGGAAACUCUCUUUCUCUGCUGGAAGAAUCAAAGAGGAAUACCUGGGAUGAAGUCUCAUAGUAUACCUCCUUGCCUUCUUCUGGUCAGUGUCAUAAGCCUGACCCACAUACUGUAACAAUUCCAGGAACUUAUCAGUGUAUUCAUCAACACUCAUCUCUUCAGUCUAUCUCAGCUGUUCAAAUUCUAUGACUUUCAUCUCCCUGGAACUGUCAGGAAAAGCCCACCCAGCAAAUUCAUUGGCGAACUCUUCCCAUGACAUGCUGUCGAACCUGGGGUCCACAUAAUUCUUGAACCACUCUCGAGCUUUCUUGCAUCUCAGUGUGAACCCCGCCAUUUCAAUGGCUCUGCUAUCAUCAACUCCUAACUCACUGGUUAUCAUCCUAAUCAAUCUGAGGUACUCAAAUGGAUCAUCUCCCGUGUUGAAUUUGGGAGCAUCCAACUUCAAAUACUCUAUCAUUUUCACUUAACUUCCCCCAGAUGAGCUAGGUUGAGGUGCUUGGACAACAGAGGCUACUGGUUCUGGUGGUGGAGGAGGUAUUGUAUCUGUUGGAUCAGGGUUUGCUGUACUUGAAUGGAAAGGUGGGGGUGGAUACAUGGGAUAUGGUGGGUAAAAAGAAGGAUAAGGCAUGUAAGGCAUGUAGGUAGGAUAUGGGGCAAAGCUAGAGUAAUCCGACGUACCCCCCAUCGGAUACCCCGGGCCCUGUGGAAAAGGUGGAUAAUGGGGUGGAUAACCAAACCCCGAUGUAAUACCCGGCUUGAGUCCGGCAUCAGAAUUCCUGUAGACCGGUGGAAUCUCGAGUGUCGGAACCCUCAAGAAGGGUAAGACAUAUGUUUUCAUAUGUGUUUUAAGAGUGUUGAAUGGUUUAAAGUGUUAAAGGAAGUGAGUUUUGAAAGAAAAGCAACAAGGGAGAAAUGCAAAGGUUCGGCCGCCGAAGGUCACUUUCGGCCGCCGAACAUUGCAUGGUUUCGGGUUCUCCUUCGGCUGCCGAAGGUGGUCUGGCCAGCCACCUAUAAAAGGGCCAAGGGUCGGUGGAAGGAGGGUAUUUCUCCUCCACUUACAGCCAGAGGUGAGUUCCAGCCUCUCCCACGUUGACUUUCAUGUUUUCCAUGUUUUUCACCAAAUCUUUCAAGAGUUUUAAGAGUUUUGGUGUGUUUUGAAGGUUUUGAGCAAAAAUAGUAAGUUUUGAAACUUGGAGCUUUGGAAGAGGUUUUCUCCCUAUCUCCACGUUAGGAUCGUGUAAUCUCUUGUUUAGAAGAGGUAAGUACAGAUCCUAAACCUCCUUUGUUGAUUUUUAAAGGUUUUAUGGAAGGUUGAUGGGUAGUAUGCAUGAAUAGGGUUUUUGGAGGUUUUUGGUGAUUUUUAUGAACAAGCAUGUUUAAGUGUUGUUUGAUGUGGUUAUUUGAGGUUUUAGGUUAGUUUUAGACCUCUUUAUGCAUGUUUUAUGGUAUGUGCUAGUUGGGAGUAGUUGAGAUGCAUGUUGGGUAAAUUUGUGGGCAAGGUUGCAUGAAACAGAGCAGGGUUCUGUCCUCUGGACAAAACCAGGUUCGGCUGCCGAAGGAAGGUUCGGCCGCCGAACCCCUUGUGGAGGCAGUUUCGGCUGCCAAAGCCUGCCCCUGAAAGCUAGGCUUUCGGUUCAGAAAGGACUUUCGGCCGCCGAAAAAGGGAGUUCGGCCGCCGAAAGUGUGUGAGUUUCGUCUCUGGAGGGGGGUUUCGGCCGCCGAACCUGCCGCCGAAAGUGCCCUGUCUAGCCUUCUUUUGCAUGUUUUAUGUGAUUGUUUUAGGAUCGUUUAUAGGGCUUUUGGGGAGUUUCUUAGGAAGGUUCUUAAAUUAGUUUGGUCCCUCAUUUGAGUCCACCUGUGUAGGAACGGACCAGAGGAAUCAGGGAGGUCAGCAGUGAGUCCAGUUUCAGAACCUGCAGAGUCAGUUCAGAGUCAGCCAGAGGUGAGUAGAACUGGACUUAAUGUUUUAAUAUGAGAAAUGAAUAUUUUAUCAUGCUUCAUGCAUCAUGAAUAUGCUAUAGGGUGAGUGCAUUAGUGUACACGAAUAUGACGCAUUGCAUCUAUCCUUGUACUUGGGAUGGCUCCUUGUACAUUGCUUCUAUGUGACGGUAUGGACAUUGUGAGGAUUCAUUAGCCCUCGGAGGAAAGACCUGGAACAGCCCUACGGGGACCAGGCACAUGGUACUUUGGUACCCCAGAUGAGAUGCAGUCCUAGAGCUCCUUUGUGGGCUGGACACAGAUAGAGGGAGUUUUGAUCCGUCCUGCUGAGAUGAUGUGAUUUACUUGUGAUGUGAGGCAUUCCAUGAGAGCAUGUUUGAUCGCCUGUUAUUUUAUUACUGUUCUACUCACUGGGCUAUCGUAGCUCACUCCUCUCCCCUAACCCCAGUUUUGCAGGUUCAGAGU